rnacentral:rRNA from 1 species
CCCUUAGAUGGUCUGGGCGGCACGCGCGCUACAAUGAUGCAUUCAAAAAGUCUUCUGACCUUAGAAGGUUGGGUAUUCUCCAAAGUGCAUCGUGAUGGGAAUAGUUUAUUGCAAUUUUUAAUCUUGAACGAGGAAUUCCUGGUAAGUACAGGUCAUCAACUUGUGUUGAUUACGUCCCUGCCCUUUGUACACACCGCCCGUCGCUCCUACUGAUUGAGUGUCUCGGUGAAUUCUUUGAUCUUCUGUCGAUUCAGUUCACUGAUCCGACGGUGGAAAGUUGAAUGAACUUCGUCACUUAGAGGAAGGAGAAGUCGUAACA